rnacentral:rRNA from 1 species
ACAGAGGUGGCUAGCGUUGUUCGGAUUCAUUGGGUGUAAAGGGUGCGUAGGCGGUUUGGAAAGUCGGAUGUGAAAUCCUAUGGCUUAACCAUAGAAUUGCAUUCGAAACUUCCAAACUCGAGUGCGAGAGAGGUGAAGGGAAUUCCCGGUGUAAGGGUGAAAUCUGUAGAGAUCGGGAGGAACACCAGUAGCGAAGGCGCUUCACUGGCUCGCAACUGACGCUGAGUGCACGAAAGCGUGGGGAGCAAACGG